CAGUAGCCACGGUAACACGUAGGGUGCGAGCGUUAAUCGGAAUUACUGGGCGUAAAGCGUGCGCAGGCGGUUGUGUAAGACAGGUGUGAAAUCCCCGGGCUUAACCUGGGAACUGCGCUUGUGACUGCACAGCUAGAGUAUGGCAGAGGGGGGUGGAAUUCCACGUGUAGCAGUGAAAUGCGUAGAGAUGUGGAGGAACACCGAUGGCGAAGGCAGCCCCCUGGGCCAAUACUGACGCUCAUGCACGAAAGCGUGGGGAGCAAACAGGAUUAGAUACCCGAGUAGUCCCUGUCUCUUAUAA
rnacentral:rRNA from 1 species